CUGAAAGAUGGAGCAGUGAAGCACCUUGUAGGAGGAGAGAGAGAUCCAUUGGUAAUCACUUCAAACUUCCCCACACUGCCCUACUAAUAUUCCUCAAGCCUGACCUGGAAGAGCCACUUCUGGGUGAGAGGGGAAAUCCAUUUCCAUGGCCAUCUGUUUCUUAACUUUGCUGCU
rnacentral:sRNA from 1 species